AUUGUAAGUUACACGAGCGCCGCGCGACUUUUCUAGGUUAUAGCAAAAUCGACACCUCAGCUCUCGGUGUCUCUGUGUAGACAGUGCCAGUGGUCCGGCGAAAUUUCAACGCCCCGCUGUCAGGCGACUCAAACGUAUUCGAUCAAUUCGAGCGAACGCGAGUGAAUUGGGAUCACGAGCGAGCCGCCGGCGCCGCGCGAGCAUCGGCUACAAUUUCACACCGCUAUGUCAGCUGUCUCGCGUUUGGUUUCCAGAGGACCUCACCGGACAGUCACACGCGCGCGCACGAUUCACAUUUUUCCUCGAAAUAAAUACCCGCAAUCCGAUAAAUGUUCCGGUCACGUUUUUAAUGCUUCCACCGAGUCAUAAACGUCACGGCGUUCGAUUUUACGACUAGUAUCUGGCUGUGAGUUUUCUUCUUUUUUUUUUUAUAACCUUAUUGCGGGCUGAAAGCCAGGGGGAAAUGCAGCGAGUGAACCGAGUCGAGGACAACGCGUCGUCGAUAAAUGGAUGAGCGAGCCGUAACAUGCGAAGAGGUCCCCACCGCUGCGAUAGAAAGGUAGUCGAAUCAUCCAACGAGGACGAGUCCCGCGUUCCCCCGGAGCCGAGCCAUCCAAAUUCCAGGUCAGCCCGUCCUACUCGAAAUUUUCGUCAAGUUUCCCGCAGGACUGCACAGGAGAGAGACGUCGGCCCCCCGAGUUUCCCCGAGCACAUCCGCCCGACUGCUCACGAGUCCGUCGAGACAAAAUUACCUCGGAGACGACUAAAAUCAACGGGGAGCGACGAAAUUCAAAAGAGGAGCGGCGCCGCCAAACAUCGUUGUCGAGAUAAACACGUUGAUCGUCAUCGGGCAAGUUUCGUCGCUGCCGCCGGGACAAAGUGUCCCCACAGUAGGAGCAGCAGCAGCAGUUCCUCGAGGGAACUUUGCGACAAGGGGAGACGACUACGACGUCGACAACGACGGCGAAGCUCGAAGCCGCGACACACGCUGAUAGCCGCGGCACAAAGGAGAAAGCUUGGAAGGAGCUUACGACGCUGCUCGAGCUCGGACAAUAGCAAGAGCAGCCUGAUCGUCUUGUACCGAGGCGGCGGUGCUGCUGCUGUGGCGGACUCCAGUCCGGACACUCGAAAGUCUCGCGAGGACCUGACGUCCGACUCGGUCGGCUCUCGAGUUCCUCAGAGCUCGAGAGCGCUGCCAGCCACUCGUCCCAGAGUCGAGAACCGCGCGGCUUCGUGCACCUGCUGCUGCGUUCCCAAACCAAGACGUCGGAUCGUCUCCAAGUCCGCGGAAUUUCGCUACUGCCGAGCUCUCGAGGAAGAGCCAUGCUUUGACUUUGCACUGGAAACCUCGAGUCUAAUGGCUCAGCGCUCCGGACAGCAGAGAUCGGAAAACUUGGAGCCCCACCUAGGACUGUUGAUGCAGCACUUACAGAGCAAAGCGGCGGGCGACGGUCAGCUCAACCGGAUCGAUUCCCAGAGGGUAUUCCCGUUCCAGGACACGCCCAGCGGCAAUCUCAAGAUCAUUCCGAACCAGGUGGUGUUCGAGUCGAAGAAGGUGAGCGUGCUGGUGGCGGAACCGCGUCACGCGAAAGUCAACGUCAAGGCCGAGCGCGGGGAUCAAGCGAGCGCCUCGCGUCCGAGGGAGAUCGACCUGCCGCCGGGCGUCACGGCCUCGACCGUCGACCGACUCCAGGCCCAGCACCGACUGCCGGCCGUCCCCAGCGAGUGCAGGCCCAGGACGCAGCCGGUCAACCGCGAGAAGAUGCUGCAGCAGAGGGACGAGGCCAAGCAGACGGUCGUCCAGAACGGACCCGUCAUCCGCGACGUGCCGCUCGCUACAUUAGGAUUUACGUCGGAGCAGCCGAUCGACUGGAAGAACAUAAGUCUGCCGGAGAAAACUGACCUCUACCAGGAGCUGUCCCAGCGCAUAACGACCUACAAAAAUGCCGACUGCAUCGUUCGCAUCGGGAACGACGAAUUCCACUGCCAUCUGCUAGUGCUGCAGAGCUACAGCGCGUUCUUCGACGAUAAAAACGUCAAAGAGAUCGACCUCGCCGGGAGCAGCGUGACCUCGAGAGCCUUCUCCAUUAUCUACGACUGGAUGAUAAGCCCGACGAGCGAGAGCUGCCACCUGCUCAGACGCGACAACAUUCUCGAGAUCUUUCUGGCCGCCCAGCACCUCGGCAUCAAAGAAUUGGAGGAGCAAUGCUGGGCGUUCAUCGACAACGAUGAGCUCUUCUCCGAGGACACGGCAUUCCUGCUCUACUUGGAAGCCCGAAAAAUAGGCAAUACCGCGGUCAUGGAGCUCAUGGUGCCGAGGAUCAUGAAAUUCUUCCUCAUGCUCGUCAGCACCAAGGACUUUCUCGAGCUGGCCGUCGAGGAGCUCUGCCUCCUGCUCAGAUCGAACUACAUAUCCGUCAACAGCGAGAUGGAGGUCCUCAUGUCCGCGGUGAGGUGGCUCAUGCACGACUGGGAGGGCCGAAAGCCGUACCUGCUGGACGUGAUGAAGUGCGUGAGGUUCGGCCUAAUCGCGCCUUGGCAACUGGUUGACGUCAAGCGAAACCCGGAGAAUCCGGAAUUCAUGGAGCUCAUGUCCUACCCGGAGAUCCAGAAAAUGGUCGACGACGGUUUAGCUUUCGUUAUCAUCAAAUACUGGUACGGCAAUCAAACGGAAGACUAUUACCACUGGAUCGAUCUGCUCGGAUUAACGGAGCCGACUAACCGGAAUUGGGCCGGCGAAGAUAAGAACUACGUCACCUACAGAGAGUUUCUUCUCUAUCUGGAGGAGUACCAGAGGACGAAAAUUUCCGAGCUGAAGAACAAAAAGUCCUCCCAGGAAAAACCCUCGCCUCCGAGCUCACCUCCGAAGGAGGACUCCUCGUCCCAGCAGUCGACGCCGCCGGCGAGAGCCCGUAUCAAUCAUCAGAAUUCAAAAGCCGGGGAGAACUCGUCGUCCCCGAGCAAUUCGAGGCCAUCGAAGCACUCGACAACGACGGACGCCUCGGGUAAUAACGUACCACACGCGGUGCCACCCUGCAUGAUGAUGCCACCGGAGGUUCUCGGUCAAUAUCUCAGUAGCAUGGGUAGAAACGGCGCCAAGCCGGUAACCGGGGACGUCAGGAAGUGUAGUAAAUCAGGGAUGAAUACGUGUUGCGCGAAGAGAUUUAGUGGUGGCGGAGAAUUUCCCAUUAAACUGAUCGUUAGGGCUGCCUGUCGACCGGAUACGGAAAAAAAUAGUCUUCCCGACGUUAAAUCAAAGCUACCGAAACAGCGCCGCGACAGUGUCCUCAAGCCGGGAUCAAAAUAUUUGUAUUCGAGGCAGAGCCUGAGCUCCUCUUUGAGCAAUUCACCGAGAAAAUUGCCGAGCACGGGCCGCUCCGGCGAAAGAAGUGACUCUUCGAAAUCCGAAGAGGAAGCCGCUACCAGCAUCCAAGCGGUCUACCGAGGCUACAAGACGCGGAGAAAAUUGAAAGAGAUAACAAAGGAGUCCGCCUGCUACGAACAAACAGCGAAUUUGCACAAGUUCGAACCCGUCAAAGUCGCGCUUCUCUACUCGGAUAGUCGCUCCGAACAAGGCGAAACGCUGGAUAAGACUCCCGCCUUUGUCGAGAGGGAGGAUAAUCACGUUUCCGCGGAGAUCCAGAUGUCGCAGCUUUCUCGGGAUGAAAAUUGCCGGGCGAUAGAAACCAUAAUGCCGCCGCCGGCGUAUUCUCCGGCUAACGAGGAAAAAACGAGCACCGACACCGCCACCGAUCCGGACGAAGCUGCCGCUUGUUUGGCCCGUAAUGAAGACAGAUCGAAUGCAGCCCUCGAGAGGAAUAACAAGAAGAAGACUCUGCACUGCUCGACGGGCGAGCUGAGGAAGAAAUUGCGCAAACUUAGAAAUUUCUGACCUGUAACAAGAUGCGCCGCAAAAAAAGCCCGGAGCAGCUCGCUCCAGUUUUCGGGGCGCAUCGAUCGGUCGGAUUACGGUCGACGCGCGCGAGGACGUGUGCAGAGCGGAGCAGCAGGCCCCGGCAGGCUAACAGUUGGCAAUUCGUCGAGAUGCGCAUCAUCAUUCAGUGGCUUACUCUCGACGGGCCGUAUCUACUUAGCCGGGGAUCGAACGAACUGGACGCCGCGAGCUGGUUCUGACUCGCACGGGAGAGCCGAAGGAGCUGCUUGUUGAUUAGAAAUGCCAAAAAACGCUUCGAGGCUUCCUAAAUCUCACUUAGAGUGUACCGAAAACGCCCUGAUCAUACACGAGCUAAUAAAUUCUCAGUGCUGUGGAAA